rnacentral:lncRNA from 1 species
AAAAUUUGCAAUAAUUCUAUUGCAUUAUGCAUGAUCCACAAGGAUUCGUCACAAACACAACUACCACAAACACCGAUAUCCAACUACCACAAAUUUCUACUGUCUUCAAAACUCUUAACUACAAAUUUCUACUAUAACUCUUACCCAAAUUUCUUAUACCUGUGCAUUUAACUUAUACCUGAUUCGAAUCAAACUCCAAUAAAAAAAAAUUAUUUUACAAAUCGACAAACCUAACUUCCAAAA